rnacentral:lncRNA from 11 species
UAUUAUUAUUAUUAUUAAUGGCCUUUGUUCUGAUGUCUUGCUCCUGGGCUGCAAGGAUCAGGCCUUCUGUCUCCUUCUUCAGGGUCCCAUUCGUGAGCCAGAGCCAGGUCUUCUCCUUCUCAGCUUUUCCUUCAAUUUUGUCAAGGAACUUUCCAUGCAAUAUUUUGUUGUGCCAGCUGUCAGCUCUAGUUUGUAGUGCGGUUUUCUUGUACUGGUUUUUUUGUCUGCUGUGCUUUGAGGAGUUUCUGAUUUUUGACUUCAUUAUUAUUAUUAGGUACAGGUUAUGACAGUUUCUUAACCGAAAUAUACCCUGCAGUAUAAUAAUUAAUAUGAUUAUAUUGUAUUAUUAUCAGCUUCUCCUUCAAUUUUGUCAAGGAACUUUCCAUGCAAUGUUUUGUUGUGCCAGCUGUCAGCUCUAGUUUGUAGUGCGGUUUUCUUGUACUGGUUUUUUGUCUGCUGUGCUUUGAGGAGUUUCUGAUUUUUGACUUCAUUAUUGUUAUUAGGAAAAAGGUUAUGACAGUUUCUUAACCAAAAUAUACCCUGCAAUAUAAUAAAGUGUCACUCAGGCUUGUGUAACAAGGAACAGUAUCUUUACCUCAGUUCAGAAGAUCAAACAGGGCAACAAUAUAUACAGCAGUCUCUCUGAAUUUACACAGAAAACAGAGGGAAU